rnacentral:rRNA from 1 species
GAUCAUGGCUCAGGAUGAACGCUGGCGGCGUGCUUAACACAUGCAAGUCGAACGAAGCAAUUUAGCGGAAGUUUUCGGAUGGAAGCUGGAUUGACUGAGUGGCGGACGGGUGAGUAACGCGUGGGUAACCUGCCUCACACUGGGGGACAACAGUUAGAAAUGACUGCUAAUACCGCAUAACCCGAUAGGAUCGCAUGAUCCAGACGGAAAAGAUUUAUCGGUGUGAGAUGGACCCG